AACGAACGCUGGCGGCAUGCCUAACACAUGCAAGUCGAACGAGAUCUUCGGGUCUAGUGGCGCACGGGUGCGUAACGCGUGGGAAUCUGCCCUUUGGUUCGGAAUAACAGUUGGAAACGACUGCUAAUACCGGAUGAUGACGAAAGUCCAAAGAUUUAUCGCCAGAGGAUGAGCCCGCGUAGGAUUAGCUAGUUGGUGUGGUAAAGGCCCACCAAGGCGACGAUCCUUAGCUGGUCUGAGAGGAUGAUCAGCCACACUGGGACUGAGACACGGCCCAGACUCCUACGGGAGGCAGCAGUGGGGAAUAUUGGACAAUGGGCGAAAGCCUGAUCCAGCAAUGCCGUGUGAGUGAUGAAGGCCUUAGGGUUGUAAAGCUCUUUUACCCGGGAUGAUAAUGACAGUACCGGGAGAAUAAGCUCCGGCUAACUCCGUGCCAGCCGCCGCAGUAA
rnacentral:rRNA from 1 species